AUCUGAGGUAGUGUAGUGGUUAUCAUACUCGGCCCACGCCCGAGUAACCCAGGUUCAAUCCCUGGCCUCGACU